UACGUAGGUGGCAAGCGUUGUCCGGAUUUACUGGGCGUAAAGGGCGUGCAGGCGGUUUGUUAAGUGCAGGGUGAAAGCUCCCGGCUCAACUGGGAGAGGUCCUUGCAUACUGGCAGACUUGAGGGAGGCAGAGGAAAGUGGAAUUCCCGGUGUAGUGGUGAUAUGCGUAGAUAUCGGGAGGAACACCUGUGGCGAAGGCGGCUUUCUGGGCCUUACCUGACGCUGAGGAGCGAAAGCGUGGGGAGCGAACAGG
rnacentral:rRNA from 1 species